rnacentral:tRNA from 1 species
GUAUCCAUAGCCAAGUGGAAAGGCACAGGAUUGCAAAUCCUUAACCGUAGGUUCGAAUCCUACUGGAUACUCCA